rnacentral:rRNA from 1 species
UACAGAGGCCCCAAGCGUUUGUCGGAAUCACUGGGCUUAAAGGGUGCGUAGGCGGGUUCGUAAGUAUCUUGUGAAAGCCCUCGGCUCAACCGGGGAACAGCAAGGUAUACUGCGAGUCUUGAGGAAGCUAGAGGCCGGCGGAACGAUCGGUGGAGCGGUGGAAUGCGUAGAGAUCGAUCGGAACGCCAAGGGUGAAGACAGCCGGCUAGAGCUUUCCUGACGCUGAGGCACGAAAGCGUGGGGAUCAAACAGG